GACGAACGCUGGCGGCGUGCUUAACACAUGCAAGUCGAACGAUGAAGCUCUAGCUUGCUGGGGUGGAUUAGUGGCGAACGGGUGAGUAACACGUGAGUAACCUGCCCUUUACUUCGGGAUAAGCUUGGGAAACUGGGUCUAAUACCGGAUAUUCUGCGUGAUCGGAUGGUUGUGUAGGAAAGAUUUUUUGGUAAGGGAUGGGCUCGCGACCUAUCAGUUUGUUGGUGGGGUGAUGGCCUACCAAGACGACGACGGGUAGCCGGCCUGAGAGGGCGACCGGCCACACUGGGACUGAGACACGGCCCAGACUCCUACGGGAGGCAGCAGUGGGGAAUAUUGCACAAUGGGGGAAACCCUGAUGCAGCGACGCCGCGUGGGGGAUGACGGCCUUCGGGUUGUAAACCUCUUUCAGUAGGGAAGAUGCGAAAGUGACGGUACCUGCAGAAGAAGUACCGGCUAACUACGUGCCAGCAGCCGCGGUAAUACGUAGGGUACUAGCGUUGUCCGGAAUUAUUGGGCGUAAAGAGCUCGUAGGUGGUUUGUCGCGUCUGCUGUGGAAACGUGCCGCUUAACGGGUGCGCGUGCAGUGGGUACGGGCGGACUAGAGUGCAGUAGGGGAGUCUGGAAUUCCUGGUGUAGCGGUGAAAUGCGCAGAUAUCAGGAGGAACACCGGUGGCGAAGGCGGGACUCUGGGCUGUUACUGACGCUGAGGAGCGAAAGCAUGGGGAGCGAACAGGAUUAGAUACCCUGGUAGUCCAUGCCGUAAACGUUGGGCACUAGGUGUGGGGUCCAUUCCACGGAUUCUGCGCCGUAGCUAACGCAUUAAGUGCCCCGCCUGGGGAGUACGGCCGCAAGGCUAAAACUCAAAGGAAUUGACGGGGGCCCGCACAAGCGGCGGAGCAUGCGGAUUAAUUCGAUGCAACGCGAAGAACCUUACCAAGGCUUGACAUGCACUAGACCAUCGCAGAGAUGUGGUUUUCUUUUUGACUGGUGUACAGGUGGUGCAUGGUUGUCGUCAGCUCGUGUCGUGAGAUGUUGGGUUAAGUCCCGCAACGAGCGCAACCCUCGUUCUAUGUUGCCAGCACGUGAUGGUGGGAACUCAUGGGAGACUGCCGGGGUCAACUCGGAGGAAGGUGGGGAUGACGUCAAAUCAUCAUGCCCUUUAUGUCUUGGGCUUCACGCAUGCUACAAUGGCCGGUACAGAGGGUGGCGAUACCGUGAGGUGGAGCGAAUCUCUUAAAGCCGGUCUCAGUUCGGAUCGUAGUCUGCAACUCGGCUACGUGAAGUCGGAGUCGCUAGUAAUCGCAGAUCAGCAAUGCUGCGGUGAAUACGUUCCCGGGCCU
rnacentral:rRNA from 1 species